rnacentral:rRNA from 1 species
GACGAAGGUGGCGAGCGUUGUUCGGAAUCACUGGGCGUAAAGCGCACGUAGGCGGCGACGUAAGUUGGGUGUGAAAUCCCUCGGCCCAACCGAGGAACUGCGCCCAGUACUGCGUUGCUUGAGGAUCCAAGGGGUGCAUGGAAUUCCCGGUGGAGCGGUGAAAUGCGUUGAUAUCGGGAGGAACUCCGGCGGCGAAAGCGGUGCACUGGUGGAUUUCUGACGCUGAGGUGCGAAAGCCAGGGGAGCAAACGGG